UUCAUUGCACCUGAUAACUCAGAGUUAGUCGCCUAACAUGCAUUUAGAAUGUAAAACGCAGCAACAAUUUUGUUGCAUCGGUAAAAGCAGAAGCAAAUAAUGGGGAUCCAAUAUUGAAUAUUGAAUGCUCCCAAUCACUGUAUAUGAUUUGAAUGUCCUUAUUUGUUGAACAUAAAGCCGAAUUUCUGAUCAAUUUGCAGCCCCUUUUCUUGACCAUUGGCAUCGGAUGGGAAUCUUAUGGGAACAGAGAAGACAAUUCGUGAACAAACAGCAAAAGAUGCAUAUGGGUAAAGAGAAAAAAUAUGUUGCUAGAAUUAUCCUCCCUGAAAAUAAAUAAUACAUCAUCGCUGCCCUAAACAUCCGGCUACUUCUUCAUUGUGAUCACAGAAGAAAUGCUACAAGAAGAAGUGUAUACAUACAUUAAUUGUUAGAAAUAUAUGUGAAUGAUAAGAGUCAUGCUUAAGUCCAGAUGUGUCGAUUGUAAAAUUCAGGUCUUAAUUAGAAUUAGAAUUUACAGCUAGCGCUAUGCAACUCUGAUUAUACUAGUUUAAAUUCAGAUUUUGUAAAAUCCGAGUGUCCGGGCUUAAGCACGUACCCGGGAAAAUGACUUUCUUGAAUACGGAACAGAGCGGCUCGGCCGCUAAUAACACAUCUGGAGCUGCGGACUAAAAUAC
rnacentral:lncRNA from 1 species